rnacentral:rRNA from 1 species
UGGGGAAUCUUGCGCAAUGGGCGAAAGCCUGACGCAGCAACGCCGCGUGCGGGAUGAAGGCCUUAGGGUUGUAAACCGCUUUCAGUAGGAACGAAAUUGACGGUACCUGCAGAAGAAGGUGCGGCCAACUACGUGCCAGCAGCCGCGGUGACACGUAGGCACCAAGCGUUGUCCGGAUUUAUUGGGCGUAAAGAGCUCGUAGGCGGUUGAGUAAGUCGGGUGUGAAAACUCUGGGCUUAACCCAGAGCCGCCAUUCGAUACUGCUCUGACUUGAGUUCGGUAGGGGAGCAGGGAAUUCCUAGUGUAGCGGUGAAAUGCGCAGAUAUUAGGAGGAACACCGGUGGCGAAGGCGCUGCUCUGGGCCGAAACUGACGCUGAGGAGCGAAAGCGUGGGUAGCAAACA